GAAAGCCUCUUUGGCCCUCACUUCCAGUCCCUGCUGAGCCCUUUGUGCUGCUGCUUCAGGUGUUUUUGUUGUUCUUCUGGCUUGUUUUCCUGAAGCCCGUCUCCAGCGCGCCUCACUGAGGGGAUUAUCUAUGUUCCUUUGUCUAAAUGAGUCAAGAAAAGGAGAUACACGUGGAAUAGUUACCCAGCCUCAUUCCUGUUGAGCACCAGAACCGUGUAUCUGUGUCCGCCGGGCAUCUCCACUUGGAUGUUCUACAGUGUCAGAGCUUCUCAUCCUUCUCCUUCCAGUAGGAAAUGUGACAGUGCGAAUAAGAGCAUUCAUGUGUUGGAUUCUGUUUCUGUGCCUAAGGU